CUAGCUUUAGAUAACAUUUUCGAGUAAAAUAACAUGAAUACCAAAUAUAGGAAAAAUAUAAAACAAGAACAAUCCAAAAACACAACAAAACAAAGGCAACAUGAAAGCAAAACCCUUUUCCCUGCAAAAGUGUAGAGAGAAAAAACACACUCAUACCAAACUUUUCCAUUAUCAUCUUUCCUCUUUUCCCAGACAUAUCCGAAGCUCAACAGCAGCCGCAGAAGCAUAUUAUGACCAUGAUGAUGAAGUUCUAUACGUUCACUUUCUUAAUCUUCUUGUUCUCUAUGCUCCAAGGUCACUGCAAAUCAGAUAUCAACCUUGGUCAUUCUCUAACGCUCACUUCUCCACUAGAAUACGCUCCCGGGUUAAUGGGGAAAGCUUAUAUAAUGGAGACAGAAUCAUCAUCAUCAACAAGAGAACCUGGUUUUAAAGCCGCGUUAACGAUGGGAUCAAGCGACAAAGAUGAUGGAAAAUAUUUGUGUUCCCUCCAAGUCUUCCUUGGAGAUGUAAGAGUUUGGAGCUCAGGGCAUUACUCAAAGAUGUAUGUUUCUAGCAAAUGCAUCAUUGAGCUCACAAAAGAUGGAGACUUGAGGCUAAAGAGUAGCAAUAAACACGUUGGAUGGCGAAGUGGAACCUCAGGACAAGGCGUUGAGAGGUUGGAGAUACAAAGCACAGGGAACCUAGUGUUGCAUGAUGCUAAAAAUCUGAUCAAAUGGCAAAGUUUUAAUUUCCCAACAGAUGUGAUGUUGAGUGGUCAGAGACUAGACGUAGCUACGCAACUAACUUCAUUCCCAAACGACUCAACUUUGUUCUAUUCAUUUGAAGUCUUACGUGACAAGAUUGCUCUGUUCCUCAAUUUGAACAAUCUCAAGUACUCUUAUUGGGAGUAUAAGCCUAGAGAUAGGAACAAAACAGUCAACUUCGUGAGAUUAGGGCCAAAGGGUCUUGACCUAUUUGACGAUAACAGCCACAUAAUCGGAAGAAUAGAGCAACCGUUGAGCAGAUUCUUGGCGCUUGGGAACAAAACCGGUAAUUUGGGACUCUAUUCGUAUAAACCGGAAAAGGGUAAGUUCGAGGCAACGUUUCAAGCUGUGAGCGACACUUGUGAUCUACCUGUAUCAUGUAAACCAUACGGAAUCUGUACAUUCUCAAAGUCUUGUUCUUGCAUUAAGGCCGUGAGCAAUGGAGAUUGCAGCAGCAACGUGGAAGAAGCGGUUUCGGUGAAGAGGUUAUGUGAUCACGAGAUGGUUGAGCUAGAAGGAGUGACUACAGUGCUGAGAAACGGGACACAAGUGAGAAACGUAAGAAAAGAGAGAUGUGAAGAGUUGUGUAAGAAAGAUUGUGAGUGUGCAGCUGCGAGUUACUCUGUUUCUGAUGAGAGUUGUGUCAUGUAUGGGAUUGUGAUGGGUGUUAAGCAGAUUGAGAGAGUGAGUGGUUUGAGUUAUAUGGUUAAGGUUCCAAAAGGAGUGAGACUGAGUGGUGAGAAACCAAAUGUUAAGAAAUGGGUUGUGGGAUUAGUUGGAGGUAUUGAUGGUUUUGUUAUUUUGUUGCUUCUUUCUGGAUUGGUUUUUUAUUUCAUCCGGAAGCGUCAGAAAAGCUCAUCUCCGCGGCUACCGCCGCAACAGCCGCCCAAUACAGAUUCUUGAUAGUUUGCUUGGAGGAUUUCAGAUUAAUUUUGUGAGUUUGUUGCACAUGUAAACAUGAAUACCAUUUAUAUAGUUAAAAGCGGUUGACACAUGAAAAUUAUAGAAAAUAUAUUUGAUUUGAGGCAUUUUUUCAAACUGUAGGCGAGAGCAUAUGCCUCAAAUCUAGGAUUUCUGAAGGUUCAUAUUCAAGAUUCAAGAAUAUGGGAAGCAUUAAGCAUUAGGGGAUAUAUAAUACAAUCAAUGAGAAUUAGUCACAAGACAGAGCCAGGAGGCAUGAACGGCUCUUGUCUUUUUGUGAUAGAUGUCGCUUCUUUUUAACGUCCAACGGUUAGUUGAAAAUACAGUGUCAUUUAAAAAACUCAGACUUUCAUUA